rnacentral:rRNA from 1 species
AACGCGAAGAACCUUACCCAGGCUUGACAUGCAUAGGAAGUUAUUAGAGAUAGUAACGCCCUUCGGGCCUAUGCACAGGUGCUGCAUGGCUGUCGUCAGCUCGUGCCGUGAGGUGUUGGGUUAAGUCCCGCAACGAGCGCAACCCUUAUCGUUAGUUGCCAACAGGUAAUGCUGGGAACUCUAGCGAGACUGCCUGGGUUAACCAGGAGGAAGGUGAGGAUGACGUCAAGUCCGCAUGGCCCUUAUGUCUGGGGCUACACACGUGCUACAAUGGUCGGUACAGAAGGCAGCGAAACCGCGAGGUGAAGCAAAUCCCAAAAAACCGGCCCCAGUUCAGAUUGUAGUCUGCAACUCGACUACAUGAAGACGGAAUUGCUAGUAAUGGCAGGUCAGCAACACUGCCGUGAAUACGUUCCCGGGCCUUGUACACACCGAGACGUA